rnacentral:rRNA from 1 species
UACGAAGGGGGCUAGCGUUGCUCGGAAUCACUGGGCGUAAAGCGCACGUAGGCGGCUUGUUAAGUCAGGGGUGAAAUCCUGGAGCUCAACUCCAGAACUGCCUUUGAUACUGAUGAGCUUGAGUUCGGGAGAGGUGAGUGGAACUGCGAGUGUAGAGGUGAAAUUCGUAGAUAUUCGCAAGAACACCAGUGGCGAAGGCGGCUCACUGGCCCGAUACUGACGCUGAGGUGCGAAAGCGUGGGGAGCGAACAGG